AUUCUCUACCAACUUCCUGAACCUUUCUGUUAUUUUACUGGGGCAAAAUCCAGUCCUUUCCUCCCUGAUUAAUCAGUGUUGUUUGCUGUUAAAUAUUGGCCGUGGUAUAUUUCAAAGCUGAUUCAUUGAUACUCUAAAAUGAAAAGUCCUAGUCACUCUUUCGAAAAGCAAUUUAGCAAUGCAAGGAAUCCUCAUCCUUUCUCCAAAUUCUACUGUUAAUGAAGGAACAAGAAAUGAAGCACCAUGGAAAUCAAGCAGAGGGCAUUCAAGUGGGACUUUCAUUCUUUCAGAAAUAGUUGAGCUAAAUCAAAGUUGCCU
rnacentral:lncRNA from 1 species